UGAAAGUCUAAAAUUUCUAGGUAAUUAAAAGUAAGGAGAGACAUAGAUUUAUUAAAACUAAUAAUAAAGCAUGAGGUGAACACAGCAUGUAAAUUAAAGAAAAACAACAAUUGGUUAAAUAAAUGCUAGUAUCUCACCAAUGUACAGUCACCAGGUAAAGGAGUUAGAAAAGGAGACUCUAAUCACGUGAUAGGACCACUCUAGUUGAAAGUUAAAGGAAAAAAUGAUUCCAAUCCUUUAAGACAGACAUAGAGAAACAUCAGGUUAUACAGAUCCAGUUCAGGUUUCCUACUUGGGUGCUUCAUUCUGCACCAUUUUACUUUCUACCCUUUUUUCAUUCACUCUGUAUCAUUUUUUAUAAAUUAUCUUCCUCUCACCUUUCUGAAAUGUCCUGGGAGUUUUUCUUCACUCAAGGUCUUCCUUGAUUAUCAGUUCCAUCUGGGCAUAUUUUUAAAAACAAGUUCUACUUCCUGAAAUUAUUAGCCUAGAAACUUUUAUGUUUUCUGGUCUCUUCUUAUUUGUAAUCUCUAUCAGAUGCUUUUCUGGAAUCCUCAAAUCAAAGACAAUGAGAAAAUUAACUGCACAUCUGAAUGUGUAUUUUAUAUUUAAAAACCAUGUCUUUGUAAUUAUGAUUGCAAGAUUAUACCUUUGUUGUUUAUAAUGUGUAACCUUAUUUGUAGAGGGUUGGAAUGAUUUUUUUCUCUUUCUGUUCAUAGACAUGAUCCAUUUGCAUUGGUGCUUCCAACUGUAGCUGCGCGGGCCACUUGUUACACAGGUCCAUUUGCUUCAUGAGAUCAGCCCCAGAAACAGCCCCAAGAAUCCCAUUCAGUGCCUUUCACGAGACAGUGAACAAAUCCCUGUGAUUAAGAAGAAGCUCCUCAUAGCUUCCUGCAUGCUGAUGUAAAGUAGAGUCCCAAGGAAGUGGCCUGAGUGGCUCAGUGUAUUUUAUGUAUAAAAAUAGAAUGCAUGAAGUUGCAGUAAUUCUCUAUCAGUGAGACAGAUUUUUUCUGAAUCAAAAGAGAGAGAUCUCGUGUUCCUGUCUGGUUGAUUGAAAAUAGAUAUUAUGAAAAUAAUUAGCUAGGUGGAUGUGGAUAGGACCAGAAGAUCCUUCAUAGUUCAUUUUUCUAUUGAAGUAAACUUGAAUCACACAUAUAGCCUUGACUUCAUUAAUGUAAUUUUCUUAUCACACAAGACAUAAGCAUGCAGCACAGAGUACACUGAUGGAUAUUGAUUAAUUCAAUCUAAAAGAACUCCAUAUAAAUUAUCUACAUAACUAGUAAAGCUGCAAUGGUGAAUAAAGCUCAAGAUCUAUAAUACUUCAGGGCCGGAGAGAUACUCAGUUAUUACGAGUGCAUGCUUUUCCAGCACAGAACUUUAGUUUGGUACCCAGCACCUAGGCUUAGUGCAUCAAAACUGCCCCUAACUCAAGCUCUAAGGGAUCUGAUGUCCUCCUCUGGUCUCUGGAAGUACCCAUAUGUACCCCCCAUACACACAUACAUAUAUGAAUAAAUAAAAUUUAAAACUUUAAAGCAAUAAUUACAUUAUAUCUUAUUCUUCACUUACUGUUUUUGGCAAACUAUUUCUUCUUUCCACAUAUUUCCUCAUCCUCAUUUAUGAUGUGAAAGCAAUGACUGCUUCCUGUCUCACAGAGGGAUGGAGACAAAGUUGAAUUGGGCAUUUACAUGUUUUUGUUUUUCUGCUGACUCUCGAGUGUAAUUAGUAAUGCGUUAACACAUCUGCUGUAUGUAUGUGUUUAUUCAUGUACAUGAGUGUGAGUGUACAUUCUUGGCAUAGUACAUGAGAAGAGAUCAGAGAACAGCCUGUAGGGCUGGUCGCAACAUUCUAUGUUGUUUAAGAACGACUCUACUUUUGUUUAUCACUGUGUAUGUAUACCACAUUGUCUGCUCGGUGAAUCUGGGGAGUCUCCUGCUUUAACCCCUCAUCUUAACAUAACUGACAUGGAACUACAGAUGUAUGAUAACAUGCUGAUCUUUAUGUGGAUUCGGGGGAUUUGAACUAUGGACUUCAUAUGUGCGUGGUUUGCCCAUUUAACCAUCUUUGUAACUCAAAACAUUUUUUAUUAUAAGAAAACAAUACUGUAAAUGUCCAUGCCUCACAUGGCCUAUGUGAGUUCAUCAGUAUGAAUGAGUGGCAUACCAUACCCUGACAUGGACAGGAGGGCUUCUGAAGGACUUGCAUCAGUGAUUAUUUUUCAAACAUUAUUCCCAAAUUUCUGUAUCAUUUCAAAAUGUCUAGCAUAUUUGCAUCUGAUAAUCAUUGCUGUAGUUAUCAAAUAUGAACCAUGGCUUUUCCAAUAUAUUCAUAAGAAAUUCUAUGAAAAAUUAACACCAUUUGUUUAAGUGGAAAUGAUUAAAUUCAUGCUUUGACUCUAAAAUGACAUUUCUGAUUUUGGGGGCUAGAGUUACAUUGUGUUUGAAAAUAAUAUUGCACUUCUUUAGUAUUCUUUUCUUUCAAAUCACAUUUUUUGUCUUUAUUUCCUAUGACUAUAUACUAACAUUUACAGAGUAUUUUGUUUUGUAGGUUUAAUGUAAUUUUUCUAGUUUUAGAUACCAUCUUAGGGUUUUUAUUGGUGUGAAGAGACAUCAUGACCACCCUAACGGUUAUAAGGGAGCAUUUAAUUAAGACUGGCUUAUAGUUGAAAGGUUUAAGUCCCUGGUGGCACACAGGCAAAUAUGGUGCUGGGGAGUUACUAAAGAGUUCUACAUCUGGAUCUGCAGGCAGCAGGACGAGAUAUCACUAGGCCUGCCUUGAGCUUUUAAACUUCAAAGUCUACCUUCCCUAGUGGUAUACUUCCUCCAAAAAGGACAUGCCUCCUAAAAAUGCUAUGACUCCAUAUUGGCAUAUGAGGGUCAUUUUUAUUCAAACCACCACAGGUAACUUUUAACUUGAAUUAAAACUAUAGACUGCCCAAAAGACAAAUUAGAAUCAUAAAUGUAUACGAUUAGUUAUUAGGCUGCCAUAGAAAUAAGAAAUCAUGUCAUUUGUGAAGAAAAUAGAAUUGGAACUGCCAUGUUAGCUGAAACAAGUCAAGACUAGAAAGGCCAAUACCAAAUGAUCUCACUCACAUGGAAUCUAGAAAUAAAAAUGAAUCAAGAUUAUGCCCUAGAUACAUAACUAUAGGCUAAUCCAACGGAGCAAUUCCUCAACUGAGAUUUUUUUUCUGCUCAGAUUAAUGUAGCUUGAGUUGAAAUAAACUAAUAGCCAGUUGUCCUGAAUUAAAUAUUACAUAGUGCAUAUAUUCUAUACAUGUGUAUAUAAGAAAAAUAACAAGGAACAACUCAAAUAUUUAUUUUUUUAGUUAUAAAUAAAUUAAGCCUCUUUACUAUCAUUACAACUGAUGAAAACAUGAAGAAAAAAUAAUUAAAAAAAAGCAAAGACUUCAAUUUACCAGACUGCAUUAAACAAUUUUGUUGGGAAUAGACAUAAAACUCCUAUAUACACCAGUGUUUUCUUCUUGUUGCACGUGGUUCUUGGGAGGAGAUAAGAGCAGAGGGAAAUCAUCCAAUUUGCCUUUGUUUCACUAAGCAUAUAGCAUAUGAUACUGAAUAGCAAAACAUAUGUCCUUAAAAUGAAUCAUUGCCACUAGUCUAUUGAUACAACUUCUAUUAGCUAAUUUUGCGAUAGUUAAAUCUCCAUAGUUCUCAUGUAUACAUUUAUGUAUAGAUAUUACAUAUAUAUUCAUAUAUUGAGAGAGAUAAAUAGUUGCUAAGUAAAUUUUGUCCCCAGCCGUUCCAUUAUUAAAAAAUAAGGUUAAUUCUAUAAAAAAACAAAUGGCAAAAAUCAAUUUUAAAUGACAGCUGAUAUUUUUACCAAAAGAAACUUAAAUCACAAAAAAAGAAAAAAACUUAAAUCACUUAAUAUUAUUUAAAUGUAGAAAAAGUUAAGUUUAAGAGUUUACAUUAUGAAGAAUAAUAUGGUUAAUUAAUUAAGAUAAAGACUGGUAUUCUAAGUUUAGCUCAUAAUUUAUAGUGGUUAAAUUUUCUAAUGCAGUAAAAGUAGGUACAAAUGUAUGCAAUUUAAUUAGCAUAUAUUAUGCCCCUGUUUUAAUAAAUACUUAAAAUGAGUAGGAUGAUACAACUUCUAAUGCUGUAUUCUUUAAACAUAUCUGAUAUUUUAAGAAACAAGUAUUUCUCAUAUAAAUGUUCAUUGCAAUUUAUUUGUUCUAUAUUCAAGACUAUAGAAAUAUAUACUGAAUGUAGAAACAGGGUUUUGAUAGGCUGGGCAACUUUUAGGUCUGCAUUCAGGAUUAGUUAAAUAUUAGUUCAACAUUCACUCUCCUUCAUUUCCAUGAUGCUUCUAGUUAAUAUUACUUGAUUUUUCUUAGUGAGUAUAGUGUGCUGAACACAGUUGCUCUUUGGUUUCAUUUUAAUAUAUGUUAAAUGUUUGCCUGCAUCAGAGUUUACCGUUGUUAUCAUCUUACCAAAUGAUAAGUACUAUUCUAUAUGAGCAGGUAUUUGGUUGAAUCCACAGGGUCCGGAUUUUAUACAGGAGAUAUCCUUCUGAUACAAGUCAGAUGGUUUGACAGGUGUUACUCUCCCUAUAUUCUCCUGACACCUGUUUAUUCAGUACUUCAGUUUAUCAAAAUUGGAGCAAGGAGUAACCUUAGGUGAAUUUACCAUGAUGUUUCUCCAUGGGAUGCCUGAGGCUAUUAGAAGAAAUAGAC
rnacentral:lncRNA from 1 species